AUUGAACGCUGGCGGCAGGCCUAACACAUGCAAGUCGAACGAGUUGCGGACGGGUGAGUAAUUUCUGGGAAACUGCCCGAUGGAGGGGGAUAACUACUGGAAACGGUAUCUAAUACCGCAUACCAUCGGAUGUGCCCAGAUGGGAUUAGCUAGUGGGUGGGGUACCGGCUCACCUAGGCGACGAUCCCUAUCUGGUCUGAGAGGAUGACCAGCCACACUGGAACGGAGACACGGCCCAGACGCCUACGGGAGGAAGCAGUGGGGAAUAUUGCACAAUGGGCGCAAGCCUGAUGCAGCCAUGCCGCGGGUAUGAAGAAGGCCUUCGGGUUGUAAAGUACUUUCAGCGAGGAGGCGUUACUCGCAGAAGAAGCACCUGCUAACUCCGGGCCAGCAGCCGCGGUAAUAC
rnacentral:rRNA from 1 species